AAAUGAAUAGACGGGGGCCCGCACAAGCGGUGGAGCAUGUGGUUUAAUUCGAUGCUACGCGAAGAACCUUACCCAGACUUGACAUCCCGCGCAUAGCCGUGAAAGCGGUGAAUUCCCUUCGGGGACGCGGUGACAGGUGCUGCAUGGCUGUCGUCAGCUCGUGUUGUGAGAUGUUGGGUUAAGUCCCGCAACGAGCGCAACCCUCGUCGCUAGUUACCAUCAUUAAGUUGGGCACUCUAGCGAGACCGCUGAGCUAUAAGCCAGAGGAAGGUGGGGAUGACGUCAAGUCCUCAUGGCCCUUAUGUCUGGGGCUACACACGUGCUACAAUGGAAAGGACAAUGCGUUGCAAGCCGGCGACGGCAAGCUAAUCGCAAAAAACUUUUUUCAGUUCGGAUUGGAGUCUGCAACUCGACUCCAUGAAGCUGGAAUCGCUAGUAAUCGUGGAUCAGAACGCCACGGUGAAUACGUUCCCGGGCCUUGUACACACCGCCCGU
rnacentral:rRNA from 1 species